AAAACAUAGCCCUAAGGAGUUAUUUAGGGUAAAACCUGCUCAAUGAAUCUAAAUUUUAAUUGCCGCGGUACCUUGACCGUGCUAAGGUAGCAUAAUCAGUUGACUUUUAAAUGAAGUCUAGAAUGAAUGGAUACACGGGACUAAGCUGUCUCACUGACUUUACUUUUGAAUUUACUAACUAGGUGAAAAGGCCUAGAAAAUUAUAAAAGACGAGAAGACCCUUAGAGUUUUGAAUCUUUUUGUUGGGGCGACAAAUAGUCAUCAAACACUAUCAGUAAAGAUACGACGGAGUUUUCAUGGUUAAUUAAACUACCUGAGGGAUAACAGCAUAAUCUUUUUAGGUUUGUGACCUCGAUGUUGGACUAGGAAGCCUAUAGGCUAGCCGCUUAUAAGGGGGAUUCUGUUCGAAUUUUCUCUCCUACGU
rnacentral:rRNA from 1 species